AUUAAUUUAGGGUUUGAAAA
rnacentral:snRNA from 1 species